rnacentral:rRNA from 1 species
AUUGAACGAUGGCGGCAGGCCUAACACAUGCAAGUCGAACGAGUGGCGGACGGGUGAGUAAUGUCUGGGAAACUGCCUGAUGGAGGGGGAUAACUACUGGAAACGGUAGCUAAUACCGCAUACCAUCAGAUGUGCCCAGAUGGGAUUAGCUAGUAGGUGGGGUAACGGCUCACCUAGGCGACGAUCCCUAGCUGGUCUGAGAGGAUGACCAGCCACACGGGAACGGAGACACGGUCCAGACUCCUACGGGAGGCAGCAGUGGGGAAUAUUGCACAAUGGGCGCAAGCCUGAUGCAGCCAUGCCGCGUGUAUGAAGAAGGCCUUCGGGUUUUAAAGUACUUUCAGCGGGGAGGCGUUACUCGCAGAAGAAGCCCCGGCGAACUCCGUGCCAUCAGCCGCGGUAAUUC